CCCAACACCCAGAAUCUGAGGGAAAAAAUAAGUUUAUAUGUAAAAAGACCAGAUGAAGAAAACAAAUUCAUACUGAGGGGAAAGCUUCAUCCAUCAAUGUGAACAAGGAGUUUAAAUCACUCGCAUUCCACUGGUUUUCUUGGGGAAAGAAGGCUCUGCAGAAGAGCCCACAAUCCACAUCCCACUUGGAGCAAAAGCCCUUCUCACCCCAAGAGCCCUAGUGAAUCAUGCCAUUGCCAUCUGUCCCACAAGACACCCCCUCAAAACUCACUUCUGGCUAGCAAAACAAGGUAGCACUUCUUUUGAGAUAUUUUGAGUAUGAAAUAUUUCUUUGGUACAGCUGUGAAAAAUAUGCAUUCAUUCCACAACCACACAACAAUAAAAUGAGGACCUGACCUUCUGGAGAUGAAGAUACCAUGGCACAACCAUCAACAUUGCCACCAAUUCUCAUCUGUUAAUAUGUAAAAUCUCUUUCUCCAGCUGACAAGUGAUAAUCUACCACAAACCCCAUUAUUGUGAACCACAAUAAUAUAAAAUAAAAUUAGAAAAAAGAAAAGAUGACCAGGACUUUUCUGGUCUUUCCUAUACACACCCCUUCCCCACUACCACUAUCUUCCGCCCUUGACUCUUCAACCAAUGAAGGAGAGAAAAGAAAGAACAGAAUGAAAGGUGCAAUGCGGACUACAGCAUUACAGACAGCAACCUUGGUUAAAACAUCUUGUUAGGGUUUUUAAAAAUCAGAAAGAGAACAAAUGAAUGAGUAUCCAGAACCACCACUAAGUUUCUUAUUACUUAUGGCUAAAUAUGUUUUACACAAAAAGAAAUGCUAUAAGAACUUAGUACCAGGUAAAGAAUAUAUAAAUUGAUAGAGAGAAAAGUUCUUUUUUUUAAACAAAAUAAGAGAUUCUACUUUUUAGGGUUGUAAUUGUAAAAGUUCAAUGCUUCUAGCAUGUCUUUCUGGAAGAAACACUAGAGCAAUCACAAGUAAAAAAUAAAAUUGAUAAAUGGAGGUGGUAAUACAGUAGAUUCUGUGGACAGUGUCCUUUUUCCUGCACUAAAGUGCAGUGCUGCAGAAUACCAUGCCCCUCUUGAAAUCCUGACUCUUUGGGAAUAGAAAUGGGGGUAUUACUCAUGCACGACCUUUGCCAAAAAGUGGCUGGCAGAUGGGUUUACAUAGCAAAGUGGAGAUGUGAUGAGAUUAUUCUGAGUCCCCACGAAACUAGCCCAGUUGAGCCUGGACAAGAGUUUCACUGGAUAAGAGGCUCUUUACUUUCACAGAACACUGACAAAUGUGCCAUGUCACAAUGACUUCCACUCAUGCCCUGGUUUGUCAUCAUUCCUCCCUCCACUCCUUAACAGAAACCAAAAAAAAGGCAAUUAUCUUUCUUCCAGCUAUAGAUGUUAAUCCUCAACUAAGUUUUAAUAAGAUCCCAUACUGACAAUGCCUGCAAUGUAGUAGAAAAGCUUUGAAGCCUGCAAAUCAUUUAGGACCAAAAGGAGGAAAUUCAAGUCCAAUUAUGGGAAAAUGAAAAAAAGAAAAAGAGCAGAAAAGCCCUUCAAAUCAGACCACAUAGAAGGCCAAAACCAUAGAUGAAAGGAAUUAAGAAGCUACAGGCUUUUUUGCUGCCUUUUAAACAUAGACCCAUAGGCAAAGUCAGCACUUGUUUAACAUAUCCACAGGUAUUAAAGUCUAUAACAUAUAAGGUGGUAGAAAAAUAAUUUCAGUGACUGUUACUUAUGGGUCUGGAUAAUUCUCAAUAUUGACAAACAUUGGUCCUCAUGUAAAAGACAAAAGUAGAAAAUAUCACUAAACUUGGAGGUAGAAACCAGAUUUCGAUUCUGUCUCUAUGUAUAGCCUUUGGAAAAUUACUUUUUGUUUCAAAGCCCAAGUUUCUUUGUCUAUAAAAAUAUGGAUAAAAGUAUCUUCAUUCAAAGAGUUGUACUGUAACUGUUCAAUGAAAUUCAUUUAUAUGUCUGAAAACAGUAUCUAAUAAAUGUAAACUGUGUAUGAUUCUGAUCUUUAAUAAUUGAUUAUGAUUCCCAAGUAAAAA